rnacentral:rRNA from 1 species
GGGGAAUUUUGGACAAUGGGCGAAAGCCUGAUCCAGCAAUGCCGCGUGCACGAUGAAGGCCUUCGGGUUGUAAACUGCUUUUGUACGGAACGAAAAGGCUCUGUCUAAUACCUGGGGCACAUGACGGUACCGGAAUAAGAAGCACCGGCUAAUUACGUGCCAGCAGCCGCGGUAAUACGUAGGGUGCGAGCGUUAAUCGGAAUUACUGGGCGUAAAGCGUGCGCAGGCGGUUUUGUAAGACAGGCGUGAAAUCCCCGGGCUCAACCUGGGAAUUGCGCUUGUGACUGCAAAACUAGAGUACGGCAGAGGGGGUUGGAAUUCCACGUGUAGCAGUGAAAUGCGUAGAGAUGUGGAGGAACACCAAUGGCGAAGUCAGCCCCCUGGGUCGAUACUGACGCUCAUGCACGAAAGCGUGGGGAGCAAACA